rnacentral:rRNA from 1 species
UACAGAGGUCUCAAGCGUUGUUCGGAUUCAUUGGGCGUAAAGGGUGCGUAGGCGGCGCGGUAAGUCGGGUGUGAAAUCUCGGAGCUUAACUCCGAAACUGCAUUCGAUACUGCCGUGCUUGAGGACUGGAGAGGAGACUGGAAUUUACGGUGUAGCGGUGAAAUGCGUAGAUAUCGGGAGGAACACCGGUGGCGAAGGCGGUUCUCUGGGCCUUACCUGACGCUGAGGAGCGAAAGCGUGGGGAGCGAACAGG